rnacentral:rRNA from 1 species
AACGAACGCUGGCGGCAUGCCUAACACAUGCGAGUCGAACGAGACCUUCGGGUCUAGUGGCGCACGGGUGCGUAACGCGUGGGAACCUGCCCUUAGGUUCGGAAUAACUCCCCGAAAGGGGUGCUAAUACCGGAUAAUGUCUUCGGACCAAAGAUUUAUCGCCUUUGGAUGGGCCCGCGUUGGAUUAGCUAGUUGGUAGGGUAAAAGCCUACCAAGGCGACGAUCCAUAGCUGGUCUGAGAGGAUGAUCAGUCACACUGGGACUGAGACACGGCCCAGACUCCUACGGGAGGCAGCAGUGGGGAAUAUUGGACAAUGGGCGAAAGCCUGAUCCAGCAAUGCCGCGUGAGUGAUGAAGGCCUUAGGGUUGUAAAGCUCUUUUACCCGGGAUGAUAAUGACAGUACCGGGAGAAUAAGCUCCGGCUAACUCCGUG